rnacentral:lncRNA from 1 species
GAAGAGGUGAUGGGGUGGUAAGAGGAGCGACCGAGAUGUAAUUCUUACGGUAAGCAUUUUUUGUUUAUGAAUAGUGAAAAAGAUAUCCCAUUUUGACAAAUGUCAUAUCCCAUUCUUAUGGAGGUAUCAUAUUUAAAAGGUGUUUGAUAGUUGCUACCUGCUAUUAUAAUUGCCAUCAUUAAAACCAACUUACAGUUAAACAUGCAUAACACAUAG